CGACACACCCAUCACCCCGGUGCACAAGUCUUAGUGAGGUUAAGUAAUAAACAGAGCAGGGGCGAUGGAGAGCUGAAUGAGUUGGGUCUUACCUAGGAUGGCAGCGGCCAUGGCGCUGACCACGAAGGUCCAUGGUCCGACGACCUAAAGGGAGCCACGACGAGCAAUCCCCGGUUCGUACGGCUCCCUUCACACCCAGCGAUAGCACAAACCGCAAAAGCGCGACCUAGAGAAGCUCCAUGUCCACCGAUCGGAGUGCUAGCGCUGGCGUACCAGAGUUGUCUCCACGGUGGCUCUCGUUUUCACCUUAUUUCUCUACUUGCCACCAUGGCUCACAGCGCAAGUGUUCCUCUUGUGAUGAACCGUGAUGGAGUUGGCCAGGGGCGGCACCAAAUUUACAGUGGCAAGGACGGAGACCGCGCGGUGGCGUUCGACCGGCCAAAGCCGAAUUCGUCGCGGUUUGUUGCAACGCCCAACGGAUUUGAGGUAGGAGACGGGCCCGACAACUAGGGCCCACCCACAAGCGAG
rnacentral:lncRNA from 7 species